AGUGUUCAAUAGAACUGUGGUAGGUGAGUAAUGUCCCCUACUAGAAAGGAGAGGGCAAGGCUGGUGCCAGCCGUCGCGGUAAAACCAGCUCUUCAAGUGGUCGGGAUAAUUAUUGGGCUUAAAGUGUCCGUAGCCGGUUUAGUAAGUUCCUGGUAAAAUCGGGUAGCUUAACUAUCUGCAUGCUAGGAAUACUGCUAUACUAGAGGGCGGGAGAGGUCUGAGGUACUACAGGGGUAGGGGUGAAAUCUUAUAAUCCUUGUAGGACCACCAGUGGCGAAGGCGUCAGACUGGAACGCGCCUGACGGUGAGGGACGAAAGCCAGGGGAGCGAACCGGAUUAGAUACCCGGGUAGUCCUGGCCGUAAACGAUGCAUACUAGGUGAUGGUACGGCCAUGAGCCGUAUCAGUGCCGUAGGGAAACCGUUAAGUGU
rnacentral:rRNA from 1 species